CCCACUCGCCUCCUCGGGUCGCUACAGUACCGCCGAGGCGGAUAAGGCCGUCCCCGCGCCCCCCUCGACGAACCCUAUCCAUUCCCCUCCUCCUCGCUCGCUCUCUUCCCUCCUCUGUCGCCCGAACGCCAUCGCCGUGCCGUCACCGUGCUCGUGGCCACAAGCCUCCCCGGCGAUCGGGAGGAAGUCGAGAAGCACCGCCGUCCUCUUCUGCACCGUAUGCAAGCGCUAGGUCGAGCCGGAGCGCCUCGAGACGUCGCCAUCGGCCUUCUUCCCCAACCACAGCUGCCGUCGUCGUCGUCGAUCUACGCCACCGGGACCUCCCCGGCCUCCCCGACCACGCCAUCGCGCUCACAACUACGAGACCGACGUUGCUGCUGCCCAGUUCGACUACGGAGUUGACGACCCCUCCUUCUUGCCAGAGCAACCAGAUGCUGGAGUCCAGGAGCCAGACGCCACCGUCGACGACGUCUCCUACUACGGGCAGCCCGCUGACGACGACCAGGAGUAGUUAGGAGGAUCCCAGGCAGGAGGCUUGCGCCUCUUUCGAUCUGUAUCCCAGUUUGUGCUAGCCUUCUUAAGGCAAACUUGUUUAACUUAUGUCUGUACUCAGAUAUUGUUGCUUCCGCUGACUCGUCUAUGAUCGAGCACUUGUAUUCGAGCCCUCGAGGCCCCUUGCUUGUAU
rnacentral:rRNA from 1 species